UCCCAUAUGGUCUUGUGAUCUGGACUCCUGGUUUUCACCCAGGUGGCCUGGGUUCAAUUCCCAGUGUGGGAA